UCCCUACGGGUGGCAGCAGUAGGGAAUAUUAGAAAUGGACGAAAGUCUGAUCUAGCAACACCGCGUGUGCGAAGAAGGCCUUCGGGUUGUAAAGCACUUUUUGGAAGGAUUAGGAAGGAAUGUACUUCCAGAAUAAGUCUCGGCUAACUACGUGCCAGCAGCCGCGGUAACACGUAGGAGGCAAACGUUAUCCGGAUUUACUGGGCGUAAAGCGCGUGUAGGUGGUUCUGUAAGUAGGGCGUGAAAGCUCCUGGCUCAACUGGGAGAGGCCGUUCUAAACUGCAGAGCUAGAGGGUGGUAGAGGGAGGUGGAAUUCCGGGUGUAGCGGUGGAAUGCGCAGAUAUCCGGAGGAACACCAGUGGCGAAAGCGGCCUCCUGGACCAUUCCUGACACUCAGACGCGAAAGCUAGGGUAGCAAACGGGAUUAGAUACCCUGGUAGUCGU
rnacentral:rRNA from 1 species